AAAAACAUGUCUGUAUGAGAGUUAUAUAAAGUCUGACCUGCCCAUUGGGGACUAAAAGGCCGCGGUAUUUUGACCGUGCGAAGGUAGCAUAAUCAUUAGUCUUUUAAUUGGAGGCUGGAAUGAAUGGUUGGACGAGAAGGAAGCUGUCUUUAUCUCGGAGAUUGAAUUUAACUUUUAAGUGAAAAGGCUUAAAUAAGUUAGAGGGACGAUAAGACCCUAUAAAGUUUAUACAUGAAGUUGGUUAAGAGUGAUUUAAGGUGUUAAAGUUUAUUAUCAGCAGGGUGUUUAGUUGGGGCGACUAGGAUAUAAAUUAUAUAACUGUUUUUUGUUUAAAUCAGAGAUAUUUGUUCAUAUGAUCCCUUUUUAGGAUUAGAGAAUAAAUUACUUUAGGGAUAACAGCGUAAUUUUUUUUAAGAGUUCUUAUCGACAAGAGAGUUUGCGACCUCGAUGUUGAAUUAAAAAUUUCUCUGUGGUGUAGCGGUUACAGGAGAAGGUCUGUUCGACCUUUAAAUUUUUACAUGAUUUGAGUUCAGACCGGCGAAAGCCAGGUUGGUUUCUA
rnacentral:rRNA from 1 species